rnacentral:rRNA from 1 species
UACGGGGGGGGCAAGCGUUGUUCGGAAUUACUGGGCGUAAAGGGUCUGUAGGCGGCCGUCUAAGUCGGACGUGAAAUCCCCCGGCUCAACCGGGGAACUGCGUCCGAUACUGAAUGGCUUGAAUCCGGGAGAGGGAUGCGGAAUUCCAGGUGUAGCGGUGAAAUGCGUAGAUAUCUGGAGGAACACCGGUGGCGAAGGCGGCAUCCUGGACCGGUAUUGACGCUGAGAGACGAAAGCCAGGGGAGCAAACGGG